GGCGAUCAAUCAAUGGGGUAGUCUUCGGAUAAUCUGUGAGAGUGAGAAAUCUAAUAAAACUAGCGACUAAAAAAGGAAAACAAAAUCUAUUUUUCUCUUAGGUUCACUACGUCAGGAUGAGUGUGUUCCACUUCUGCUGCUUGAGGUGUGCACAGUGGGAGGAGAUGAAGAUGUGGGCCUCGUGGCUCAGGAAAAACUCUUCACAACCAUCACGAGAAGGGGAAAUCACGUCUCAUUAGAAUGUGUCUUAGGGCCGCGAUGAACACCAAAACGAAAGGAGUUCUGGACUUCGCAUUACUACACUUCCCUUUCCUAUUGAGUCACCUCCCAG
ensembl:lncRNA